rfam:Erinaceus europaeus unplaced genomic scaffold scaffold00367, whole genome shotgun sequence
GGAUGUGAGGGCGAGCUGGCUAAGACAUCUGUCACCCCGCUGACCGCUUGACCACCAGAGCUGAUUCAUUCAGCUGAUAUGGCUGGCUAGGGGGGAUGUCCCCUGCCUCCCUCACCGCUCCAUGUGCCUCCCUCCCGAAGCUGCACCCUCACUCGAAGAGGACGGCCUUCCCCGAAUACAGAGGGACCCGGUCUUCAGUCCAGGGUAUAGGAGUAGCUGCACUCUCCUGCUAGAACUUCCAAACAAGCUCUCAAGAAGAUUACAGUCCCACACACCUUUAGAGGACUGGGGGGAGGGGCCGGGAGGUGGUGAACCUGGUUG